ensembl:lncRNA
GGGGUACUGGUACAGAGUCAAUGUGGAGGCUAUAUACAGGGGGUGCCAGUACAGAGUCAAUGUGGAGGCUAUAUACAGGGGGUACAGAGUCAAUGUGGAGGCUAUAUACAGGGGGCACCGGUACAGAGUCAAUGUGGAGGCUAUAUACAGGGGGUACCGGUACAGAGUUACGGGGCACCAGUUAAUCAAGGUAAUAUAUACAUGGAGGUAGAAUUAUUAAAGUGACUAUGCAUGGAGGGGGGGCAAUGCAAAUAGUCUGGGUAGCCAUUUGAUUAGAUGUUCAGCAGUCUAAUGGCUUGGGGGUAGAAGCUGUUGAGAAGCCUCUUGGCCCUAGACUUGGCGCUCCGGUACUGCUUGCUGUGCGGUAGCAGAGAGGACAGUUUAUGACUGGGGUGGUUGGAGUCUUUGGACAUAUUUAGGGCCUCCCUCUGACACCGCCUAGUAUAGAGGUCCUGGAUGGCAAGAAGCUUGACCCCAGUUAUGUACUGGGCCAUACGCACAACACUCUGAAGUGCCUUGUGGCCGAGUAGUUUCCAUACCAGGCAGUGAUGCAACCAGUGCUCCGGAUGGGGCAGCUGUUGAACCUUUUGAGGAUCUGAGGAUCCAUGCCAGAUCUUUUCAGUCUCCUGAGGGGGAAUAGGUUUUGUCGUUCUCUCUUCACGACUGGAUUGGUAUGUUUGGACCAGGAUAGUUUGUUGGUGAUGUGGACACCAAGGAACCUGAAGCUCUCAACCUGCUCCACUACAGAAGCAGACCCUAGUUCCUACUCCUUAGCUUAGGUAGUCAGUCCUUGGUUUGCAUCCCAUUACCCAUAAGGCUCUGGUCAAAACUAGUGCACUGUAUAGGGAAUAGGGUGCCAUUUGGGAUGCAGACUUGGGGAGGGGCUAAGGGCCUUGUCUGGACCGGGCCAAAGCUGUUAUCAAGGUAGGCUGUCUGUGCUCUCUAGUGCUGUCUGUCUCAAGCAGUUCAGAUUGCUGAUCUAGGAUCAGGCUCCUGUGCAUGUAAUGUGUUCUGGAAGGCAGAACUAACUGAUCUAGGAUCAGGCUCCUAUGCAUGUAAUGUAUUGUGGAAGGCAGAACUGACCCUAGGUCAGCACUCCUACUCAGAUGCUUGAUACAUAUGCCCCUUUGUGUGCAUUGGCCACCUCACAUAGCCUGGUUCCUCUCUAGGUUUUGGCCUUUCUAGGGAGUUUUUCCUAGCCACCGUGCUUCUACACCUGCAUUGCUUGCUGUUUGGGGUUUUAGGCUGGGUUUCUGUACAGCACUUUGAGAUAUCAGCUGAUGUACGAAGG